UAAUUGCCUUCAAAGAUCAACAAUUCUGUGAAGCCAAUUAAUUCCAAGCAAAAAGCUGUGGCAAUGCAAUGCCGCAGCGCAUGCGUGUAUGGAGGAAACUACGGCAUUGACAUUGCAUGGCUUUGGCUGCUGCCGUAGGGCGAAGGCAAACCUUUUCAUUUGCCCCGAGAGAGAGAGAGAGAGAGAGAGAGAGAGGAGAGCGAGGGAGGAUGAAAAGGAGGCAGAGGAAACAUGUAAUGUCCCACUUGCGAUGUGGAAACAUGGAAGAAAAAGUGCUGCUGGAGAUGUGCUCCCCUCAGCCAAAAUGCGGCUGAUGGUAUCCGAUUUAUCAUCAUGAUCUGUUUCUGGUCAAGGGCGUUUGCGUGCGGGGAUCGAAGAGGGCUCGAGGGAGGGAGCGAAAGAGAGGGCGUCAAAAAGGUUGACAAACAAAUGGUGGAUCCAACCAUGGAACCUUUCAAAAGGCACAAGACAGAGAAGUAAAGCAGAUAUCUCAAGUCUUCCUACCAAGACCUUGGUGUUCAAAAGCUGCAAGUGCUUGCUUGUUUGACAAAACAAAACGGCUAUGUUAAUGGAUUUGCCGGUGCUCCUGGAUCUAUUACCACCGUUCCCCAUGAUCUAAGCAGCACAUGGAUACAAGUUUAAUUAAUAUGCAUAUAUCUCUCUCUCUCAUGUGAGGCCAUAAAAAAACAUUAAGGUUGCUUGCUCAGGAGGAUCAGCAGCAUCAGUGAUCCAUCUGUGUUGAUGGAUCUCAUCAUUCAAUCCACAUCUGUGUUGAUAGAUGAAGAGUCGAUGAUAUGAAAACAAGCUGCUUUAAACUGUCAA